GUGAGUUGAUUGGACUUGUUGUCCUAAGAGAAGGAUCAUCUUCUUAUGACACUGAUUGUGGUCAAAGACAAAGACAAAACACUGUUGCCAUUGUAGCUGGUGUUGCAGUCCUAGCUGCUACAUGUGGGGCUGUGGUAUUUAUAUAUCAUAGAAGGAAGAGAGAAAAUAAAAGCUUAACAAGAAGGGUGUGAUGAGACUGGUCUGAAUGGCUCAUGGCCAUAUUAAUAAUGGUGACGGUGCUUAUGGAACAGACUGAACCAGACAGGACUGCCAAAUGACCCGUUCUCCUUCUGGACCAACUGACCACAGUGCCACCUCUCUAUUACUGCUGUGCUACACC